rnacentral:lncRNA from 1 species
GAAUUCAAAUUCAUCAAGGACAUCAAGCUGGUCCAGAAGGCUGCAAAUCUGUACACCGUGCAGCCCAAUGAGCACUUUGGAGCCUGGUUCCAGGCUGUUGAGCCCCUGAGUGAGGAGGCGAGCUACAGCCUGUCCUGUCAGCUGGAGCCCCGAUACCAGUGGUCCAGAAAGAUUCGACUCUUCUUCAAAGACAAGAAGAGCCGCUCAUCUUCCCGCCCAGGGCUGAACACGAGGCCCCCAAAAAAGAGCCCAGCGGUUGUGGCAGAUGUUGCUCCUUAGACCAGCUGACUCACAGCAGGGACACAGCACGGACACUCAGGUGCAUGGGGCCACCUCUCAGAUGCUGAUAUGAAUGAAAACUUUGUGAUCUAUUUCCUGGGGGUGCCUGAAGGCCACAAGGGAUUGGACGAUCCCACCAUCUCCCUCACACAUUUUCCCCAGCGCCAAUUUUCCCUCUUUGGAGAGGCCAUGUUUUCGUUGUCAAUGAUAAAUGCUAAGUUUGGGUAUUCUAUUAAAUUUCUGUUUUUUUCUCAGCCUGGGGGUGGACAUGUGGUUCUUUCGCUCUCUGUGCUCAUGGAAAUGAGAUCCAGAAUCUCACAUUCCUCCUUGAAUUCAGAAACCUCGCAGAGUCCUCAGCUCAGGGAUUUGUCCCUGAAUGACAUGAUUGGACCAUUCACCCGACUGCUGCCCCCUCGGUUUUGGUGGCUCUGGAAGAAGUACCAAGAUGUACUGGUCUUUCCUUCACCAUUGAGGAGACCAAUGAGAACCCCUCUUGACUCCCCAACCUGCCCUCAGGUUUUGAUGUCUACACUGCCUGUCCCAGUGACCACAAGAACUUCGAGACCACUCUGACUCUCCUUAGGGAAUUGAACUCUCUCUAACUACAACCACCAGACUAGAGCAAAUCUGGGGCUAC